GUGAGGAAUUUUCCGCAAUGGGCGAAAGCCUGACGGAGCAAUGCCGCGUGAAGGAUGAAGGCCUAUGGGUUGUAAACUUCUUUUCUCAGAAAAGAAUUAUGACGGUAUCUGAGGAAUAAGCAUCGGCUAACUCUGUGCCAGCAGCCGCGGUAAGACAGAGGAUGCAAGCGUUAUCCGGAAUGAUUGGGCGUAAAGCGUCUGUAGGUUGUUUAAAAAGUAUUCUGUCAAAGAUUAGGGCUUAACCCUAGAUAGGCAGAAUAAACUUUUAAGCUAGAGUUUGGUAGAGGCAGAGGGAAUUCCCGGUGGAGCGGUGAAAUGCGUAGAUAUCGGGAGGAACACCAAAGGCGAAGGCACUCUGCUGGGCCAAUACUAACACUGAGAGACGAAAGCGAGGGGAGCAAAUGGGAUUAGAUACCCUGGUUAGUCC
rnacentral:rRNA from 1 species